rnacentral:rRNA from 1 species
GUGUGUGAAGAAGGCCUGCGGGUUGUCAAGCACUUUCGGUGGGGACAAAAAGUGGCGCGCUAACACCCUGCUAUCUUGAUUUAACCCAUAGAAGAAGCACCGACUAACUCUGUGCCAGCAGCCGCGGUAAUACAGAGGGUGCAAGCGUUAAUAGGAAUUACUGGGCGUAAAGCGCACGUAGGCGGCGUGAUAAGUUGGAUUUGAAAUCCCCGGGCUUAACUUGGGAAUUGCAUUCAAGACUGUCGCGCUAGAGCAUGGGAGAGUGAAGUGGAAUUCCAGGUGUAGCGGCGAAAUGUGUAGAUAUCAGGAGGAACAUCAGUGGAGAAGGCGGCUUUUUGGCCCAAUACUGACGCUGAGGUGCGAAAGCGUGGGGAUCAAACAGGAUUAGAUACCAUGGUUGUCCACGCUGUAAACGAUGAGAACUAGACGUAGUAAGAAUCUGCGUCUCAGUGUCGCAGAUAACACUGAUAAGUACUC